rnacentral:rRNA from 1 species
UACGGAGGAUCCAAGCGUUAUCCGGAUUCAUUGGGUUUAAAGGGUGCGUAGGCGGAAUGAUAAGUCAGUGGUGAAAUCUCUCGGCUUAACCGAGAAACUGCCAUUGAUACUGUCAAUCUUGAGUACAUUUGAUGUGGGCGGAAUGUGUCAUGUAGCGGUGAAAUGCUUAGAUAUGACACAGAACACCGAUUGCGAAGGCAGCUCACAAAACUGUAACUGACGCUGAGGCACGAAAGCGUGGGUAUCAAACAGG